GGGAGAUCGAUCAGAACAAGGAGAAAAGGGGGUUCAACCCUAGUUCUUGAAACCAGCCAAAUCAAAGAGAAUUUCAUGGAAAUCGAACUGCAUGGGCUAAGAAUUUCGACCAUCUAAACCUAUCUUUUGAAGUGGCGAGAAGGAAGAAGGUUCCAAUACUAGGAAAUCGGAAGGUUCACAAGACCGAGGUAAAACUCCACUUUAGGCGAAUUGGAGAUAUGGAGCGAGCACGUGUCCAUGCUUUAUUAUACCAAGCGCUUCCGCUAGAUAUAUGCACACUUUUUGGGUCCAUGUCUUGUUAUUUUGUUUAAUCUUGUUAGAAGUCAUACACUUAAAAACUUGUUGUCUUCGUUUUGGGAAGUUUAAAGUUAAAUGGGUCGUAGAUUGUCGUUAGUUUAAUAACUUAAAAACAGGGGGCAUGCUCGUUUUACGAACGGGUCAUGCCCAUUUUUUGUAAGAAUUU